rnacentral:rRNA from 1 species
CCUACGGGAGGCAGCAGUGAGGAAUAUUGGGCAAUGGGCGGAAGCCUGACCCAGCAACGCCGCGUGAAGGAUGAAGGCCUUCGGGUUGUAAACUUCUUUUAUGGGGGAAGAGAGAGGACGGUACCCCAGGAAUAAGUCACGGCUAACUACGUGCCAGCAGCCGCGGUAAU